GUAUGUAUUAGGGCUCACAAAAAACCGAUAAUUCCCAAAACCGAGUGUAAGUAUAAGUAAUUCUCAAAACCGAUUAAAAACCGGUUUUCGUGGAUUUAGAGCGGCGUCCCUGUAACGAAGAAGUUUGUCAUAUAUUCUAUU